GGCUAACGCUGGCGGCGUGUCUUAGCCAUGCAAGUCGAGCGGACUUAUGGGGUAACUUAUAAGUCAGCGGCGGACGGCGGAGUAACACGUAGCUAACCUACCCUCUGGACGGGGAUAACCUACCGAAAGGUGGGCUAAUACCCGAUGUAGUCAUCCUGUAUAGGGGUGAUGAAAGGUGGGCUUCUGUUUACAAGCUCAUGCUGGAGGAGGGGGCUGCGGCCUAUCAGGUAGUUGGUAGGGUAAUAGCCUACCAAGCCGAUGACGGGUAGCCGGCCUGGGAGGGUGACCGGCCCGAGGGGCACUGAGAUACGGGUCCCACUCCUACGGGAGGCAGCAGGCUAGAAAUUUGGGCAAUGGGGGAAACCCUGACCCAGUGACGCCGCGUGCAGGAAGGAGCCCUUCGGGGUGUAAACUGCUGUCGUGUAGGGAGAAGGGUACUAAGGUGAACAAUCUUAGUACUUGACGGUACUACAGGAGGAAGCCCAGGCUAACCUCGUG
rnacentral:rRNA from 1 species